GUUUGAUUCUGGCUCAGAACGAACGCUGGCGGCGUGGAUAAGACAUGCAAGUCGAACGCUGAUACACAGGUAGCAAUAUUUUUGUGUCGGAGUGGCGAAUGGGUGCGUAACACGUGGGUAAUUUACCCUAAGGAUCGGAAUAACUCGUCGAAAGGCGAGCUAAUGCCGGAUGUGACUUGAGGAAGACAUCUUCCUUGAUUUAAAGCUGGGGACCCUUCGGGGCCUGGCGCUUUAGGAUAAGCCCGCGGCCUAUCAGCUUGUUGGUGAGGUAAAGGCUCACCAAGGCUAAGACGGGUAGCUGGUCUGAGAGGACGAUCAGCCACACUGGAACUGAGAUACGGUCCAGACACCUACGGGUGGCAGCAGUCGAGAAUCUUUCACAAUGGGCGAAAGCCUGAUGGAGCGACGCCGCGUGGGGGAUGAAGGUCCUAGGGUCGUAAACCCCUGUCAUCUGUGAGCAAGGCUCGAGUCUUAAUACGAUUCGAGUUGAUAGUAGCAGAAGAGGAAGGGACGGCUAACUCUGUGCCAGCAGCCGCGGUAAUACAGAGGUCCCAAGCGUUGUUCGGAUUCACUGGGCGUAAAGGGUGUGUAGGCGGUAGGAAAAGUUUGGUGUGAAAUCUCCGGGCUCAACCCGGAAACUGCACUGAAUACUCUCUUACUAGAGGAUCGGAGGGGAGACUGGAAUUCUCGGUGUAGCAGUGAAAUGCGUAGAUAUCGAGAGGAACACCAAUAGCGAAGGCAAGUCUCUGGACGAUUCCUGACGCUGAGGCACGAAAGCUAGGGGAGCAAACAGGAUUAGAUACCCUGGUAGUCCUAGCCGUAAACGGUGCACAUUUGCUGUGGGCGGAUUCGACCCCGUCCGUGGCGUAGCUAACGCGAUAAAUGUGCCGCCUGGGGAGUACGGCCGCAAGGUUAAAACUCAAAGAAAUUGACGGGGGCCUGCACAAGCGGUGGAGUAUGUGGCUUAAUUCGAUCAACGCGAAGAACCUUACCUGGCUUUGACAUGCAAGUGGUAGGAACCUGAAAGGGUGACGACCUCGCAAGAGGAGCUUGCACAGGUGCUGCAUGGCUGUCGUUAGCUCGUGUCGUGAGAUGUUGGGUUAAGUCCCGCAACGAGCGCAACCCUUGUGUCCUGUUGCCACUCCGGUUUCGAUCGGAAGCACUCUGGACAGACUGCCUCGCUUAAACGAGGAGGAAGGUGGGGAUGACGUCAAGUCAGUAUGGCCCUUACGGCCAGGGCUGCACACGUACUACAAUGCCCGGCACAGAGGGAAGCAAGACCGCAAGGUGGAGCCAAUCCCUAAAAACCGGGCCCAGUUCGGAUUGUCGGCUGCAAUUCGCCGGCAUGAAGUUGGAAUCGCUAGUAAUGGCGCAUCAGCUACGGCGCCGUGAAUACGUUCCCAGGCCUUGUACACACCGCCCGUCACAUCAUGAAAGCCGGUUGUACCCGAAGUCACUGAGCUAACCCGCAAGGGAGGCAGGUGCCUAAGGUGUGGCUGGUGAUUGGGAU
rnacentral:rRNA from 1 species